ensembl:lincRNA
UGUUGUUGUUGUUGUUGUUGUUGUUGUUUUUGAGACAGAGUCUCGCUCUGUUGCCCAGGCUGGAGUGCAAUGGCGUGAUCUCGGCUCACUGCAACCUCCACCUCCCAGGUUCAAGCUAUUCUCAUGUCUCAGCCUCCCGAGUAGCUGGGAUCACAGGUGCCCGCCACUGUGCCCAGCUAAUACUUGUAUUUUUAGUAGAGAUGGGGUUUCACCAUGUUGGUCAGGUUGGUCUUGAACUCCUGAUCUCUGGCGAUCCACCUGCCUCAGUCUCCCAAAGUGCUAGGAUUACAGGUAUGAGCCACCGUGCCUGGCCUUUAUUGUAGAUUUUUAAAUAUUUGUCUUCCAACACUUCUGUAGGAAUUUUGUUCAUGUUCUACAAUUUUAACGUUCAAUACUUGUUCUCUGAAUGUUUCUUUUUAUAGCUUUUUUGUUGCAUUAUAAAAUUUUAUUAUACUAAGGACAAAGGGAAGAUACUAGAAGCUUCCAGGAAGGAAAAAAAAAUGUGUCAUAUACAAAGGAUCAGGAAACAGAAUGGCUUGAAACAUUUCAGCAGCAAUACUGGAAGCUAGAAGCCAGUGUUGGUUUAAUGCCUUGGAAGAUUGGAAGGACAAUACUUUUCAACCUAGAAAUCUUCAUCCAGACAAGCUAUCAAGCAAAUGUAAGGACUGAAUAAUAGCUUUCUUAGACAUUAAAGUCUCCUAUACUCUGUUAUCAAAUUAUUAAGAGAUGUGCUCCAGCAAAAGUAGGGUUUAAAUCAGGGGAGCGAGAAAAACAGAGAAUGGAAAUGCAGGAUAUCUAACUGAAAAGAGUUGCGAAGGAAAUUCUCAGGUACAGAAUGAAGGGAGACCCCAGGGCAACAGCUGUGCACCAGAUAUGAGGGUGAUUGGUGCAGACUGGAGCAAGUCGGAAUGGUCUGGAGAGAUUCCUUCAAGAAGACCUAUGUUGGAAAGCUGGCAGGAAGGAAGAAAACACUCAUACGAAGAUAUUUUGUGGAAACUAAGAAGAGGAGUGUCACAUAGGAGAGCCCACUGCUACAGCCAUGUCUUGGGUCUCUGUGCUCUGAAUCCCUGCUUGGCCAGCCUCCUGGAGGUUGGAGCUCAGAAGUCUCCACUUUGUUCUAAUAACAAGUGAAAAGCUGACUUUAUGAUAGGAUGUUUUUCUCUCCACACACCUUGCCAUUGCAGUACUAAACGUCUGUUCACCUCAGUUCCUGUACCAAGUAUACCAUGUCCACCUUGCAACAAAACUUACAAGGCGUACUACAAGGAAAAAAACGCAGUUUGAAGAAACUGAACAAGCACCAGAAUCAGAGUCUGAUAUGGCAGGAAUGUUGGAAUUAUCAGCCCGGAAACUUUACAAAUAUGUACGUAAGUAAUAUGCUAAGGGUAUUAAUGAAAAAGUACAUAACGUGCAAGAACAGAUGGAUAAUAUAAGCUGAGGAAAGAUUCUUUGAGUCUUUAACAAUAGAAACUGUGAAAACUCAAAAGCAAACAGAAAAAAAAGACUGGAGGAAAAAAAAGAACAGAGUGUCUAAGAACUGUGAGACAACUACAAAAUGUGUAUCAAGUGGCAGAGGGAGGAAUUAAGAAUAUUUUGUUAUUAUAAAACACGUGCACUUUGUGAAGUGCUACGGUGUUAUCAGAAAGUGGACUUGGAGUAGUUGUAAAUGUAUAUUGAAAACUCUAGGGCAACCAUUAAACAAGUAAAAGAAAUACAGCACACUUAGUGGUGAGAAACUCAAAACUUUCCCUGUAGGAUCAGGAACAAAGCAAAGAAUGUUACCACUUUUAUUUUAACAUUGUACUGAAAGUACAGCUAAUGUAAUAAGACAGGAAAAAAAAAACAAAAAGUGUACACAUUGGUAAGAAAAAAAAUACAACUGUCUUUGCAGAAUAUAAUCCUCUCUGUAGAAAAUCUAAAAGAUUUGGCAAGAAAAUUCUUGGAAUAAGCAAUUAUAGUAAGGUUUCAGGAUUCAAGUUUAAUAUACAAAAGUCAAUUGCAUUUCUAUAUACCAGUAAUGAACAAGUAAAAUUUGAAAUUAAAACACAAUACCAUUUACAUUAGCACCCUGAACAUUGAAAAUAGGAAAAUUCAACA